rnacentral:misc_RNA from 1 species
GAUGAAGAACGUAGCGAAAUGCGAUACUUGGUGUGAAUUGCAGAAUCCCGUGAACCAUCGAGUCUUUGAACGCAAGUUGCGCCCGAAGCCAUUAGGCCGAGGGCACGCCUGCCUGGGCGUCACACGUCGUUGCCCCCCCAUCUACUCCUUCGGGAUUGCGGGGGGCGGAUGAUGGCCUCCCGUGCGCCUCGUCGCGCGGUUGGCAUAAAUGCCAAGUCCUCGGCGACACACGCCACGACAAUCGGUGGUUGCGAAACCUCGGUUGCCCGUCGUGUGCGGUCGUCGCGCAACGAGGGCUCGAAAAAAUUGCCGGGCUCCGGCUCGGCUUUCAACGCGACCCCAGGUCAGGCGGGGUUACCCGCUGAAUUUAAGCAUAUCAAUAAGCGGAGGA